rnacentral:rRNA from 1 species
GAUGAACGCUGGCGGCGUGCUUAACACAUGCAAGUCGAACGGAACUGUUUGAAUGAAGUUUUCGGAUGGAUUUUAAACAGUUUAGUGGCGGACGGGUGAGUAACGCGUGGGUAACCUGCCUCGCACUGGGGGAUAACGGCUGGAAACGGUCGCUAAUACCGCAUGAAAUGUUCGGAUGGCAUCGUCUGAACAUCAAAGAUUUAUCGCUGAAAGAUGGGCUCGCGUCUGAUUAGAUAGUUGGUGAGGUAACGGCUCACCAAGUCGACGAUCAGUAGCCGGACUGAGAGGUUGAACGGCCACAUUGGGACUGAGAUACGGCCCAG